rnacentral:rRNA from 1 species
UACGAAGGGGGCUAGCGUUGCUCGGAAUCACUGGGCGUAAAGGGUGCGUAGGCGGGUCUUUUAAGUCAGGGGUGAAAUCCUGGAGCUCAACUCCAGAACUGCCUUUGAUACUGAAGAUCUUGAGUUCGGGAGAGGUGAGUGGAACUGCGAGUGUAGGAGGUAAAAUUCGUAGAUAUUCGCAAGAAACACCAGUGGCGAAGGCGGCUCACUGGCCCGAUACUGACGCUGAGGCAACGAAAAGCGUGGGGGAGCAAACAGG